CAGCUGCACCCGAAACUAGCAGAUCCUCGGAUGAAGGCAAGGGGAAGCAGCUUGGCGUACAAACUCGGGAUCCAGGCAGCAGAUCAUCCAGAAGCAGGAAAUCCAAAGGAAGAACGACACCUGCUGGAAAGGUUGGAUGGGGGGGCAUUCUUGGAGACCAACCUCCACAGCACCCACAGAGCCCUAUCUCCAGUGUGAGCUCUGACAGAGAGAGGGACUCCAUUGGGUGGUCGAGAGAGCCAAGAUAUCCACCGAGUUCUGACAGAGAAAGGGACUCCGUUGAGAGGCCGAGAGAGCCAAGAUAUCCGCGUGACGCGCCAUCUCAUGGCGAGGACCUCAGAGACCGGCUGAACAGGCCGCCUCAUGAGAGGACGCCUGGCAGCGGCGCGUUCUUCGUCAACAACGGCGCGGACUCCCAGGCCAGGGGGCAGCGGAUGGAGCACAGGCAGCUACAGAUGAUCAACCGCACCAUCAACGACGACAUGGACUCCCUCUCCGUCGGGAGCCACGAGUCCUCCGAGCAGCCCCGUGUCAGCGUGCGGACCAUACACAACAGACCAAGGACCAGAAUAAACCUGGGCUGGUAGCCAGCCAUAUCAUGUGUGACCGACCGUGUCUGUACUCAAAAUCUUGGGAUGCAAUGUCGGAAAAGUUUAUCGAUACCUGGAAACUGGAAAGGGGAAGUUGAGAUGUACAUUUCAGGAACUGAAUUCACUGAUAGAUACUGUAGUCAGGAGCCUAUUGUGUAGAUAAUCAGAGCUGUUAUUUUUUCCUGGAAUGCUGUAAUUGUGUCUUGGUGUGGAUGUUGUGUUGCGUUGGCGCGAUUAUUGAUGACUGAAUAAUAUUGGCUGGGUGUAGGGCAGGAGUUUUUCCUGGAAUUAAUAUGCUGUGAUUGUGUCUUCAGUAACAUUUUGCUCUUUAUAUUUGGAAAGAGAUAGCAGUAACAUUUUGCUUUUGGCCUGUGAAAUUUUAUUAUUUGUGCUGCUUUGGUUUGAGGGAAAGAUUGUGUGCUUGUUUUUGUUUUUAUGCCUAGAAGGAUUUGUGAGAUCUGAAUUCACUGAUAGAUACUGUAGUCAGGAGCCUAUUGUGUAGAUAAUCAGAGCUGUUAUUUUUUCCUGGAAUGCUGUAAUUGUGUCUUGGUGUGGAUGUUGUGUUGCGUUGGCGCGAUUAUUGAUGACUGAAUAAUAUUGGCUGGGUGUAGGGCAGGAGUUUUUCCUGGAAUUAAUAUGCUGUGAUUGUGUCUUCAGUAACAUUUUGCUCUUUAUAUUUGGAAAGAGAUAGCAGUAACAUUUUGCUUUUGGCCUGUGAAAUUUUAUUAUUUGUGCUGCUUUGGUUUGAGGGAAAGAUUGUGUGCUUGUUUUUGUUUUUAUGCCUAGAAGGAUUUGUGAGAUCUGNNNNNNNNNNGUGAAGCCUAUUCAUAGAUCUAUCUCAAGGUGAAAUUUCUAAUGGCAGGACAGGAAAGGAAAUCCACCAGGCAUCAUUCGAACUUUUGUUUCUGAUCCGAUCCCUGAACUAUUUAAGGUCAUGAUCAAGAGAUUGGUAAGGUGGCGUAUUCUGCCAACGGAUUGUGUGCCAGACAGUUGCAUUGUCAACAUGUAUGACCCUGGAGAUUGCAUUCCACCACAUAUAGACAGCCAUGAUUUUGUUCGACCAUUUUGUACUGUUUCAUUCCUCAGUGAAUGCGACAUACUUUUUGGGUCUAGUCUGAAAAUCGCUGGUCCUGGAGAAUUUACGGGCUCAUUUGCAAUUCCUCUGCCUGUUGGGUAUGUUGGUUAUCUUCUCUCGAUUUUCCUCUAUGCUUAUGAAUAUCAUGCAGAAUUGACACUUCCUUUUGCAUGUAGUAUUCACACUUAAUUAUGUAGUGUAUGGAUAGGUCUGAAACUCUGAAUUGAUUAUAUUCCUGGAGAUUUGAGAAUUUUGAUUGCAUAUGAAUUCAAAGACCGUGUCUGAUUCAUUUGCUUACUGCAUGACAUCUUGACUGUACAUGUGUGGAUAGUUUUGAUUUUAUUUUAUUUUUUGACAUUCCGAAGUUCUGAUCUCAUAUGAAUACCAAUAUCAUGCAAAGUCCGUUUGAUACAUGUAAAUGAUAUUGCUUGCUGCAUAGCACAUUGAGGUGCUGAGCUUGUUAGCUUUGAUCUGAAGUUAUCUCAAGUUUGUGCCAAGAUAAGCUAUUUUCUAAUGAUUAUGAGCCAUUUUCUAGUGAUUUUCUUUUUUAUUGUUAUCUUGUCUUUGUUUCUUUACCUGGGUGUCAUGAAUUGUAUGUGAUGUGUGCAGUGAUCUCUGUAGUUUUAUGCUGUCAUUCUUUGCUUCCUUUGCUGAACACUAAAUGUGAACAUUCACAGGUCUGUGCUCGUCAUAAAUGGCAAUGGUGCUGAUGUUGCAAAGCAUUGUGUUCCAGCGGUACCAUCCAAAAGGUUAUAGUUGUAUGUUGCAUUAUUUUUCUGAACUUGAUUUGUUCACCUCUGACAUUAUGCUGGAACUCUGAUUGAUGUACAGGAUAUCCAUUACCUUCAGAAAAAUGGAUCCUGCAAAGCGUCCGUUCAGUUUCAAGGAUGACCCUGAACUGCUGAACAUCACUCCUCUCGAAGCACCAGCUGCACCCGAAACUAGCAGAUCCUCGGAUGAAGGCAAGGGGAAGCAGCUUGGCGUACAAACUCGGGAUCCAGGCAGCAGAUCAUCCAGAAGCAGGAAAUCCAAAGGAAGAACGACACCUGCUGGAAAGGUUGGAUGGGGGGGCAUUCUUGGAGACCAACCUCCACAGCACCCACAGAGCCCUAUCUCCAGUGUGAGCUCUGACAGAGAGAGGGACUCCAUUGGGAGGUCGAGAGAGCCAAGAUAUCCACCGAGUUCUGACAGAGAAAGGGAC
rnacentral:lncRNA from 1 species